GAGACGAGGUCUCUUGCUGUGUUGCCCAAGCUGGUCUCCAACUCCUGGGCUCAAGUGAUCCUCUCGCCUCGGCCUCCCAAAGCGCUAGGAUUACAGGCGUGAGCCACCGUGCCCGGCCAACAUUUUUCUUUCCUUCUUCCAGUUUUGUAUUUACUUUUUUUUUUUUUUUUUUUUUUUUGAGACAGAGUCUCGCUCUGUUGCCCAGGCUGGCUGGAGUGGUACAAGUGGCACGAUCUCAGCUCACUGCACCCUCUCCGCCUCCUGGGUUCAAGCGAUUCUCCUGCCUCAGCCUCCCGAGUAGCUGGGAUUACAGACACACACCACCAUGCCCGGCUAAUUUUUGUAUUUUUAGUAGAGACAGGAUUUUGCCACGUUGGUCAAGCUGGUCUCGAACUCCUGACCUCAGGUGAUCCGCCCACCUCGGCCUCCCAAAGCGCUGGGAUUACAGGCGUGAGCCACCGCGCCUGGCGUGUAUUUACCCUUCUAUUACACAUAUCCCGGGGGUGCUGAGGUCUGGGAAGGCUUGGACAUAAGGGUCUUAAGACAGCAAAAUGGCAACAUUAUAAUUGGAGGAAAGGUCCAUGUCAGGAUGGUGGCCCUGAACAUCAGAGUCUCUUGUUUCCUCCUGGGGACAUGUACAGAGGCUGUCACGAGACUCUCCUAAAAGCAUUCAUGAAAAGCCUUUUUCUUUCUUUUUUUUUUUUUUUUUUUUUUUUUUUUUGAGACGGAGUCUUGCUCUGUCACCCAGGCUGGAGUGCAGGGGUGCCAUCUCGGCUCAGUGCAACCUCCGCCUCCCGGGUUCAAGCAAUUCUCAUGCCUCAGCCUCUGGAGCAGGUGGAAUUACAGGCACGCGCCACGACGCCUGGCUAAUUUUUGUGUUUUUCGUAGAGACGGGGGUUUCACCAUGUUGCCCAGGUUGGUCUCGAACUCCUGACCUCAAGUGAUCCGCUCGCCUCGCCCUCUCAAAGUGCUGGGAUUACAGGCGUGAGCCACCGCGCGCGGCCCAUGAAAAGCCUUUCUACCUGGCUUUUCUGACCAGUCUUGCGUGGUCUCCCAAGGCCGUUAGCGAGGACCCAAAGUCUCCUGUUCUUGAGGGCCUUGUAUACAGUCCGGUCUUCACUGUCAUGCAUGACACGCCUGCUUCUCUGGGAGUGGGAUGACUCCGUUCUAGUCCUUCCAGAAGACCCUGCUGCCAACAAGCCCAGCAGCUGCCUGGGUGGGAUCAGCAGCUCCCGCGGACUCGAUCUCCCCCUGGGUGGGGAACUCAACCCCGACAGGUCCUUCCUCAACCUCUAAGCCGGAUACUUCCCUGGACCAGGAUUAAUUGCCCGUACGUAUUCUGUCGUUUCUGCCAGCGGUUAACAAGACCCUGGGAUAUUUUCCCCAGGGAAGAGAAAGCAGUUCUGGCUUUUUCUCUACACACCCCAAACUUGCAGGAAAAACGCGGCUUUGGCCUGGAGAAAGCCCGAGAUCGUGACGUUUUCACGACAGUACCGUGGAGAACAUAGACCAACAGUAUAAUUGGCUCGUUGCUAAAACAUUCUCCACGGGGGGAGGAAAGAAAGCAGCAGUCACCCCACGCCCCUGAAAGGGUGAAAACGAAAAGGAAAGCAAACCGAUCAGCAGCUCGCGUUCUGAACACCAGACAUGCGAACCCAGCAACUACCUAAUGACAACUGCUUUUCAACUUCCGUAAGCCAGGGGAAAGCGCGAACGCAGUCCCCCACUACCACAAAUUAUGCAGUCGAGUUUCCCACAUUUGGGGAAAUCGCAGGGGUCAGCACAUCCGGAGUGCAAUGGAUAAGCCUCGCCCUGGGAAAACCACCUUCGUGAUCAUGGUAUCUCCCCUGCCAGGUAAGUAUGAGUUGUGCCGCUGGCUUCCUCUCAUACCCUCUCGCCCACCACACUCUCAACACACGGUCACUUCUCUCGUGCGGCCCCAGCCCCCUCACCCUCUCCAGCCCCCUCGCUCCACCGUUGCCGCUAGGGGAAGACACCCCGACAGCACUCGGAUAUCGCGCGCGGGACAUGGGGUUCCAGGCCGAACGUGACCGGCAGCCUCCGCGCGCCGUGCUCAUCUGCAUACGCCACGCCCUCGCCGGGGUCGUCCCCGGCGCUCCGGUCUCUCCCGCUCCCGGACCGGGGACCUACCGACGGCGUGGGACAGGCCUGGGUGUCUCCGGGGCUGGUUGGGCGCAAGUGGGUGCGCGGCCGGGAGUCUGGGACCUGAAAGGGAGGCCUGAGAGGACGAGAGAGUGCCAGAGAGAGAGAGAGACAGUGACAGAGAGAAGAGAGAGACAGAAAGACAGUGACAGAGAGAAGAGAGAGACAGAAAGACAGUGACAGAGAGAAGAGAGAGAGAGAGACAGGAGAGAGGGGAGAGAGAAGACAGAGAGAGAGAGAGAGAGAGAGACAGUGACAGAGAGAAGAGAGAGAGAGAAGGAAGAAAAGAGGGGGAGAGAGAGCGAGCGAGCGAGCGAGCGAGCGAGCGAAAGAGAGUUUGCGGCCCCACCGCCCAGUCCCCGAGGGAUCUAGCGUCUGGGCCGGGCAGGGCUCGGGUUUGGGCUCACCUUCCUUUCAGCAAAAAGCAAGUUUCGGCCCCUUCUCUUCUCGCCAGCCCAACAGAAGUCUUCCCCACAGGGCACAACUAUUAUGAGUGACUACCUUGCACAACGGCAUGUGGCAGAAGUGAUGUCCAGGGUCUCCCGAGGCUGGGUCGGAGGCAUCCUUACAGCUCCCAUCUGGGUCUACCGGAAUCGUCUUGGAGGUUUGCGCCGCCAUGGAAGAAGGCUGACUACGCAGGCUGCCGUGUCGUGAGGAAGCCCGAGGCUUUGUGGAGAGAAAUGCAUGGAAACAGUUUCAGUCCCCAGCCGAGACCCUAGGCAUCAGGGAGCAGAACAUCAAAACUGCGGACUUGGGAUACAAAUGAAUGAUCACUGUUGUUGCAAAGCC